GACGAACCGUCCUAACGUUGUUCGGAAUCACUGGGCUUAAAGGGCGCGUAGGCGGCCCAGCAAGUCGGGGGUGAAAGCCCACGGCCUAACCGUGGAAGUGCCUCCGAUACUGCGGGGCUCGAGGGAGGUAGGGGCAGCGGGAACUUCCGGUGGAGCGGUGAAAUGCGUUGAUAUCGGAAGGAACGCCGGUGGCGAAAGCGCGCUGCUGGACCUCUGCUGACGCUGAGGCGCGAAAGCCAGGGGAGCAAACGGG
rnacentral:rRNA from 1 species